rnacentral:rRNA from 1 species
CACCGCGGUCAUACGAUUAACCCAAAUUAAUAGAAACACGGCGUAAAGAGUGUUAAGGAGUCACACAGAAUAAAGUCAAACCUUAAUUAAGCUGUAAAAAGCCAUAAUUAAAACUAAGCCAAACUACGAAAGUGACUUUAAUAUGAUCCAAUCACACGACAGCUAAGAUC